CCGGGUGUGGCUCAGUUUGGUAGAGCGCUUGAAUGGGGUUCAAGAGGCCGCUGGUUCGACUCCAGUCACUCGGACCA
rnacentral:tRNA from 2 species